rnacentral:rRNA from 1 species
CCAGACUCCUACGGGAGGCAGCAGUAGGGAAUCUUUCACAAUGGGCGAAAGCCUGAUGGAGCAACGCCGCGUGCAGGAUGACGGCUCUAUGAGUUGUAGACUGCUUUUGUACGAGGGUAAACCCCGAUACGUGUAUCGGGUUGAAAGUAUCGUACGAAUAAGGAUCGGCUAACUCCGUGCCAGCAGCCGCGGUAAUACGGAGGAUCCGAGCGUUAUCCGGAUUUAUUGGGUUUAAAGGGUGCGUAGGCGGUUUGAUAAGUUAGAGGUGAAAUGUCGGGGCUCAACCCCGAAACUGCCUCUAAUACUGUUGGACUAGAGAAUAGUUGCGGUAGGCGGAAUGUAUGGUGUAGCGGUGAAAUGCUUAGAGAUCAUACAGAACACCGAUUGCGAAGGCAGCUUACCAAACUAUAUCUGACGUUGAGGCACGAAAGCGUGGGUAGCAAACAGGAUUAGAUACCCGUGUACAU